rnacentral:rRNA from 1 species
UACGAAGGGUGCAAGCGUUACUCGGAAUUACUGGGCGUAAAGCGUGCGUAGGUGGUUUGUUAAGUCUGCUGUGAAAGCCCCGGGCUUAACCUGGGAACUGCAUCCGAGACUGCAUUGCUAGAGUAUGGGAGAGGGAAGCGGAAUUUCUGGUGUAGCAGUGAAAUGCGUAGAUAUCAGAAGGAACAUCAGUGGCGAAGGCGGCUUCCUGGACCAAUACUGACGAUCAGGUGCGAAAGCGUGGGGAGCAAACAGG